rnacentral:rRNA from 1 species
AUAUCAAUAAGCGGAGGAAAAGAAACUAACAAGGAUUCCCUUAGUAACGGCGAGUGAACCGGGAAGAGCUCAAAUUUGAAAUCUGGCUGUCUUCGAUAGUCCGAGUUGUAAUCUAUAGAAGCGUUUUCCGUGCUGAACUGUGUAUAAGUGUCUUGGAACAGACUAUCAAAGAGGGUGACAAUCCCGUACUUUACACAAUCAUCAGUGCUCUGUGAUACGUUCUCUACGAGUCGAGUUGUUUGGGAAUGCAGCUCAAAAUGGGUGGUAAAUUCCAUCUAAAGCUAAAUAUUGGCGAGAGACCGAUAGCGAACAAGUACCGUGAGGGAAAGAUGAAAAGCACUUUGGAAAGAGAGUUAAACAGUACGUGAAAUUGUUAAAAGGGAAACGAUUGAAGUCAGUCGUGUUUAUUGGAUUCAGCCGGUCUUCGGUGUACUUCCUUUAAACGGGUCAACAUCAGUUUUGUCCGGUGGAUAAAGGCAGUAGGAAUGUGGCUCCCUCGGGAGUGUUAUAGCCUAUUGUCACAUACACUGGAGGAGACUGAGGACUGCAGCUCGCCUUUUUGGCCGGGGUUCGCCCACGUUCGAGCUUAGG